rnacentral:rRNA from 1 species
CUUUCUUGACCCCCCAGUGAGUACAGAACUACAAUAGGUGCACAGGUGGAUGAAUAGAGUCAAGACAUGCGUGCACAUGCCUCGAGAGGCCAGCAACAACCCAUCAAGGUUAUUCAAUAAUGAUCCUUCCGUAGGUGAACCUGCGGAAGGAUCAUUAUUGAAUAACCUUGAUGGGUUGUUGCUGGCCUCUCGAGGCAUGUGCACGCCUGUCUUGACUCUAUUCAUCCACCUGUGCACCUAUUGUAGUUCUGUACUCACUGGGGGUCAAGAAAGCAAGUUUAUUGUUCGGUUGAAACACACUGGAUUUGAGGAUUGCCAUUCUGGCUUUCUUCUGUUAGCUUUGCGAAAUUGUGCUUUCUCGAGAACAGGGCUAUGUCUUUUAUCAUAAACCAUGUAGUAUGUUGCCAGAAUGUAUUCAAUGGGCCUUUGUGCCUAUAAAACCUUAUACAACUUUCAGCAACGGAUCUCUUGGCUCUCGCAUCGAUGAAGAACGCAGCGAAAUGCGAUAAGUAAUGUGAAUUGCAGAAUUCAGUGAAUCAUCGAAUCUUUGAACGCACCUUGCGCUCCUUGGUAUUCCGAGGAGCAUGCCUGUUUGAGUGUCAGUAAUCUCUCAACUCCUCUGGCUUUUGUUAGCUGGCUGGAGCUUGGAUAUGGAGGUAGUGCAGGCCUUUGUAGGUCAGCUCCUCUGAAAUGCAUUAGCGGAACCGUUUGCGAUCCGUCACAGGUGUGAUAAUUAUCUACGCCAGUGGGUUGCUCUCUGUCUUGUUCAGCUGCCAACUGUCCGAAAGGACAAUCAUUUACUGAAUCUUUGACCUCAAAUCAGGUAGGACUACCCGCUGAAUCCUACUCAGCAUAUCAAUAAGCGGAGGAAAUC